AAAAAAAAAGUAUCUGUUCUUGACAUUUCACCGCCGAUUCCGUGUGUUUUGAGCUGCGUCUUGUGAAUUCGAUCAAUGCAGAGUUGUUCAAGGAGGAGGAGCAUGGUUUGGCUUUGCUAGCACGUUUUUCAUCUCCGUUAUUCUAAUACACCCAUUUUGUACCAAAGGUGAUAGGUAAGAAAGUAGUUCUUAAAAUUCUAUUUUCCUAUCUAAAUCUCUUCAAUUCUUGGUAAUCAGGUGAUGUUAGAAUGUAUUGUUAAUAGUUUAAGUUUUAGUAUUUGUGCUUUCAGGUCUUCGGGAUGUACCUGAUGUACUGUGGUGGCCAAAGAAUCAUUCAGUGACUUGGUUUAGUCCAGGACUUGGUUUUUUUAAAAGUGAUUUACAGUUUUAAUUUGCAGAGACCCUCAAGGUACCUGAGGUGUUGCAUUGGCGUUGGAGUAACUUGGUGACGGAACGGAAUGCCAACGAUGUUAUGUUGUCAGUGUCAAUAAAACAUAUACAGUAUCA